rnacentral:rRNA from 1 species
ACAGGUGCUGCAUGGCUGUCGUCAGCUCGUGUCGUGAGAUGUUGGGUUAAGUCCCGCAACGAGCGCAACCCUUAUCAUUAGUUGCUACGCAAGGGCACGUCUAAUGAGACUGCCGGUGACAAACCGGAGGAAGUGGGGAUGACGUCAAGUCCUCAUGGCCCUUAUGGGUAGGGCUUCACACGUCAUACAAUGGUCGGUACAGAGGGUUGCCAAGCCGCGAGGCGGAGCCAAUCCCACAAAGCCGAUCGUAGUCCGGAUUGUUCUCUGCAACUCGAGAGCAUGAAGUCGGAAUCGCUAGUAAUCGCAGGUCAGCAUACUGCGGUGAAUACGUUCCCGGGUCUU